rnacentral:rRNA from 1 species
UGGGGAAUUUUGCGCAAUGGGCGAAAGCCUGACGCAGCAACGCCGCGUGGGUGAUGAAGGUCUUCGGAUCGUAAAACCCUGUCGUCGGGGACGAAGGUUGUCGGUUGAAUAGACCGGCAGCUUGACGGUACCCGGAGAGGAAGCCCCGGCUAACUCUGUGCCAGCAGCCGCGGUAAUACAGAGGGGGCAAGCGUUAUUCGGAAUUAUUGGGCGUAAAGGGCGCGUAGGCGGUGUUUUAAGUGAGAUGUGCAAUCCCCGAGCUUAACUUGGGAACUGCAUCUCAGACUGGAACGCUAGAGUACUGGAGAGGGUGGUAGAAUUCCACGUGUAGCGGUGAAAUGCGUAGAGAUGUGGAGGAAUACCAGUGGCGAAGGCGGCCACCUGGACAGUAACUGACGCUGAGGCGCGAAAGUGUGGGUAGCAAACAGG